GCGUGAGAAUCUGCCCUUAGGAAGAGGAUAACAGCUGGAAACGGUUGCUAAUACUCUAUACGCCGAGAGGUAAAAGGAUUUAUCCACCUUAGGAAGAGCUCGCGUCUGAUUAGCUUGUUGGUAAGGUAAUGGCUUACCAAGGCGACGAUCAGUAGCUGGUUUGAGAGGACGACCAGCCACACUGGGACUGAGACACGGCCCAGACUCCUACGGGAGGCAGCAGUGGGGAAUUUUCCGCAAUGGGCGAAAGCCUGACGGAGCAAUACCGCGUGAGGGAUGAAAGCCUGUGGGUUGUAAACCUCUUUUCUCAAGGAAGAAGUUCUGACGGUACUUGAGGAAUAAGCAUCGGCUAACUCUGUGCCAGCAGCCGCGGUAAUACAGAGGAUGCAAGCGUUAUCCGGAAUCACUGGGCAUAAAGCGUCUGUAGGUUGCCUACCAAGUCUGCUGUUAAAGAUCAGGGCCUAANCCCUGGGAAAGCAGUGGAAACUAGUGGGCUUGAGUGUGGUAGA
rnacentral:rRNA from 1 species